rnacentral:rRNA from 1 species
ACUCAAAUGAAUUGACGGGGGCCCGCACAAGCGGUGGAUCAUGUGGUUUAAUUCGAAGCAACACGAAAAACCUUACCUAGGUUUGAAAUCCAGCGAAUUUGCCUGAAAGGGCGAAGUGCCCGCAAGGGAGCGUUGAGACAGGUGCUGCAUGGCUGUCGUCAGCUCGUGUUGUGAAAUGUUGGGUUAAGUCUCGCAACGAGCGCAACCCUCGUCCUUAGUUGCCAGCAUUAAGUUGGGCACUCUAGGGAGACUGCCUGGGUUAACCAGGAGGAAGGUGGGGAUGACGUCAAGUCCUCAUGGCCCUUAUACCUAGGGCCACACACGUGAUACAAUGGAAACGACAAAGGGAAGCGAAGCUGUGAAGCGGAGCCAAUCUCAAAAACGUUUUCUCAGUCCGGAUUGAAGUCUGCAACUCGACUUCAUGAAGUUGGAAUCGCUAGUAAUCGCGGAUCAGCAUGCCGCGGUGAAUACGUUCCCGGGCCUUGUACACACCGCCCGU